ACGUACACUCCUACGGGAGGCAGCAGUGGGGAAUAUUGGACAAUGGGCGCAAGCCUGAUCCAGCCAUGCCGCGUGAGUGAUGAAGGCCCUAGGGUUGUAAAGCUCUUUCACCGGUGAAGAUAAUGACGGUAACCGGAGAAGAAGCCCCGGCUAACUUCGUGCCAGCAGCCGCGGUAAUACGAAGGGGGCUAGCGUUGUUCGGAUUUACUGGGCGUAAAGCGCACGUAGGCGGACUAUUAAGUCAGGGGUGAAAUCCCGGGGCUCAACCCCGGAACUGCCUUUGAUACUGGUAGUCUUGAGUUCGAGAGAGGUGAGUGGAAUUCCGAGUGCAGAGGUGAAAUUCGUAGAUAUUCGGAGGAACACCAGUGGCGAAGGCGGCUCACUGGCUCGAUACUGACGCUGAGGUGCGAAAGCGUGGGGAGCAAACAGGAUUAGAAACCCCUGUAGUCCCAUG
rnacentral:rRNA from 1 species